GGACUACAAGGGUUUCUAAUCCUGUUUGAUCCCCACGCUUUCGUGCAUGAGCGUCAAUAUCUGCGUAGUAAGCUGCCUUCGCAAUAGGUAUUCUAUGUCAUAUCUAAGCAUUUCACCGCUACAUGACAUAUUCUGCUUACCUCCACAGCAUUCAAGAUAUAUAGUAUCAAUGGCAAUUUCCGGGUUAAGCCCAGAGAUUUCACCACUGACUUACAUAUCCGCCUGCGCACCCUUUAAACCCAGUAAAUCCGGAUAACGCUUGCACCCUCCGUAUUACCGCGGCGGCUGGCAC
rnacentral:rRNA from 1 species